rnacentral:pre_miRNA from 14 species
UUCUUGCUUCUGGUGAAAGACCCCUGGAGCGGGGAGACCCUCACUCAAGUCUUGGGAUGACGCAACCCCCCAAGAACUCACGAGAGACC